AUUUUAAAACAAUAUAUAUGGCACCACUUGGUCUUCACAGCUUUCAAGACAGGACUGUCAAGGCAAGGACACUCCUUAGGGGACCCUGUCCCAUAAAGUCAAAUUAUGCGGGAUGAGUCAGUGACGCAGGAGCUAAAAACAGUGUCCCUUUAAAAAUGUGCAUGCCUUUGAAAUGGAAUAAGUAAAGUACUUGCAGAUGCAAAUGGUUUCAAGUUUCACUGGAGACCCAGCGAAAGCGGCUGUUCUCAAAGUUGCCAGGCAGUGUGGAAACGCCCACUGAGGGGCACACAGUGAGGCGGCCACUGGCUCUGUGUCCUUGGGGAAGCCCCUUCUGCGGUCCCCUCCAUUGUCUGCGUGACAAAGUGGACGUAGAACUCCCCCAUUUCCUGCCCAGGGCGGGUGAGGACCCUGCACACACACGGUGUGUUUGUGAGCUGUGCAGAGUGGGGUCUCCCUGGCAAUGGCCACAGCCUCCAGGGGCGCUGACACCUCCCGUCUAACUGGUAGACAGUUUCUGCCUCUUCUUGUUUGGGGAUUGGAGAGGGAAGUGCGUCUGGAUGACUACUAAGAUGAGGAGGCUGAGGCCUAGUGCUCCUAGCGGGCUUGGUCAAGAGCAGGAGGCGGAGGUGGUGGAAGGCUGUUUCCCUGCGAUUUUCACAUAAUUUUUAAAAAAUCACCAUAUGUCGGCCAGGCGCAGUGGCUCACGCCUGUAAUCCUAGCACUUUGGGAGGCCGAGGCGGGCGGAUUACAAGGUCAAGAGAUGGAGACCAUCCUGGCUAACACGGUGAAACCCCGUCUCUACAAAAAACACAAAACUUAGCCAGGCGUGGUGGCGGGUGCCUGUAGUCCCAGCUACUCAGGAGGCAGAGGCAGGAGAAUGGCAUGAACCUGGGAGGCGGAGCUUGCAGUGAGCCGAGAUCGUGCC
rnacentral:lncRNA from 1 species